rnacentral:rRNA from 1 species
AUUGAACGCUGGCGGCAGGCCUAACACAUGCAAGUCGAGCGGUAGAGAGAAGCUUGCUUCUCUUGAGAGCGGCGGACGGGUGAGUAAUGCCUAGGAAUCUGCCUGGUAGUGGGGGAUAACGUUCGGAAACGGACGCUAAUACCGCAUACGUCCUACGGGAGAAAGCAGGGGACCUUCGGGCCUUGCGCUAUCAGAUGAGCCUAGGUCGGAUUAGCUAGUUGGUGGGGUAAUGGCUCACCAAGGCGACGAUCCGUAACUGGUCUGAGAGGAUGAUCAGUCACACUGGAACUGAGACACGGUCCAGACUCCUACGGGAGGCAGCAGUGGGGAAUAUUGGACAAUGGGCGAAAGCCUGAUCCAGCCAUGCCGCGUGUGUGAAGAAGGUCUUCGGAUUGUAAAGCACUUUAAGUUGGGAGGAAGGGUUGUAGAUUAAUACUCUGCAAUUUUGACGUUACCGACAGAAUAAGCACCGGCUAACUCUGUGCCAGCAGCCGCGGUAAUACAGAGGGUGCAAGCGUUAAUCGGAAUUACUGGGCGUAAAGCGCGCGUAGGUGGUUUGUUAAGUUGGAUGUGAAAUCCCCGGGCUCAACCUGGGAACUGCAUUCAAAACUGACUGACUAGAGUAUGGUAGAGGGUGGUGGAAUUUCCUGUGUAGCGGUGAAAUGCGUAGAUAUAGGAAGGAACACCAGUGGCGAAGGCGACCACCUGGACUAAUACUGACACUGAGGUGCGAAAGCGUGGGGAGCAAACAGGACUAGAUACCCUGGUAGUCCACGCCGUAAACGGUGUCAACUAGCCGUUGGAAGCCUUGAGCUUUUAGUGGCGCAGCUAACGCAUUAAGUUGACCGCCUGGGGAGUACGGCCGCAAGGUUAAAACUCAAAUGAAUUGACGGGGGCCCGCACAAGCGGUGGAGCAUGUGGUUUAAUUCGAAGCAACGCGAAGAACCUUACCAGGCCUUGACAUCCAAUGAACUUUCCAGAGAUGGAUUGGUGCCUUCGGGAACAUUGAGACAGGUGCUGCAUGGCUGUCGUCAGCUCGUGUCGUGAGAUGUUGGGUUAAGUCCCGUAACGAGCGCAACCCUUGUCCUUAGUUACCAGCACGUAAUGGUGGGCACUCUAAGGAGACUGCCGGUGACAAGCCGGAGGAAGGUGGGGAUGACGUCAAGUCAUCAUGGCCCUUACGGCCUGGGCUACACACGUGCUACAAUGGUCGGUACAGAGGGUUGCCAAGCCGCGAGGUGGAGCUAAUCCCAUAAAACCGAUCGUAGUCCGGAUCGCAGUCUGCAACUCGACUGCGUGAAGUCGGAAUCGCUAGUAAUCGCGAAUCAGAAUGUCGCGGUGAAUACGUUCCCGGGCCUUGUACACACCGCCCGUCACACCAUGGGAGUGGGUUGCACCAGAAGUAGCUAGUCUAACCUUCGGGAGGACGGUUACCACGGUGUGAUUCAUGACUGGGGUGA